UCUCAAUCUACAAGAGCGUGCGGUGCCGAAGCCGCGUGGUCUUUGGCGAACUCGAUCAUCUACCGGCUGUUUAGUCUGUUGGCGAGCUUCGGGCGAGAUGCAUCUCCGACUCCCAAACGCGUUCUUCGCUCGUCCAUUCGGUACACCUUCGUGAUCUUCGUGACUGAGAGUGAUACAAUACUCCAUCCCCACGAAAGUGUUAAGUGGUUCGAUUAAAAUUAAUCACUUUUGUUGCACUGUUUUCGUGUUUAUUGAAAGGCUUUUGUGGCUAGUAACAUCAAGAUCACACUGUUAUCUUAUUCAGAUAACCAUGUACCUAGCUACACUAUGGUUAUCACGUUGUUAAUAUUAUGAUGUUAAUGCCACAUCGUAACCAUUUCCAAUGAAGUGAGCGAGCUGUUAAUCUAAAAAUAGUAUUUUCAAAAAUCAUAAAAAACUUUUGAAAUGAGGAGCUCCGGAUAUGAGUUAUCCAGUUCUAAAGAGUUUCGUUGAAUGAAGUUGACGUGUAUCAGUAUGGUGUCUUGACUUCUCAGUGAUCUACUUUUCGAAGAAUGACAUUGAAAAAUAAUCACCUGGUUCAUGAACGAUGAAGUUAUCAGUUCUCGUUGUUUUUCUGCUAUGGAAUUGGACAUCACGGAUCCCACUUCUUCAGACAAUUGGGGGAAUCCGAGGCGUUCACUCCCAGCAAGUAGCAGAUAAGGAUAACUUCGAAGGAUCUGGCCAGUAUCCUGAUGUGAACUGGCGAGAGAAAGAAGGGUUCUUC
rnacentral:lncRNA from 1 species